GACAGAGGGUGCAAACGUUGUUCGGAAUUACUGGGCGUAAAGCGCGUGUAGGCAGCGACUGCAAUUCGGGUGUGAAAGCCCUGGGCUCAACCUAGGAAGUGCACUCGAAACUGCAGGGCUUGAGUUCUGGAGAGGAAGGCGGAAUUCUCGGUGUAGAGGUGAAAUUCGUAGAUAUCGAGAGGAACAUCGGUGGCGAAGGCGGCCUUCUGGACAGUGACUGACGCUGAGACGCGAAAGCGUGGGGAGCAAACAGG
rnacentral:rRNA from 1 species